UGCUACCUGCAGGUCGCUCUGGCCCUGGCUGGCAGUCCUUCUACUCUGCCACAGAAGGGUAGGGAAUUGAAAGAUCUGCCCGAGAGAGUUCAAGAACGAGCAUGUUUUGCUGAGACUGAGAGCAUGUGCUCGGAGACCUGAGCUAUCACAGAAGAAGAAUUCCACAUUUCCCUUCUCCCCGUAUUUGAGCAUCUUCAUUCUCCUGCCUUUGCCUGGUGUUCUUGGCUGAUGGACCAGGGCGAGGGUCCUCAUCUACAUGGGGGAGGAUGGAAGGAAGGCAGCGCCAAGCAAUCAGCGAUGCCAGGACGCCACCGCCAGACGGAUGCUGUUCCCAGUCCUGUCUGAUCCUCCUUCUCCGCCCAGCUGACACCUCGACUCAGCAAUGCAAUUUCAGGAGCAACUGCCACCAGGACUAGACACCAGGAGUGUGGGGCUCUGGGCCUUUCUGACUUCACUGAGGACCUGCUGGCACCUGCCUGGCCUAAGAGCAUACAGAUCCUCUCUGGAGCAUCCUUGGUCCUCUCUGGAGUAUCCCUGGUCCUCUCUGGAGCAUCCCUGGUCCUCUCUGGAGCAUCCCUGGUCCUCUCUGGAGCAUCCCUGGUCCUCUCUGGAGCAUCCCUGGUCCUCUCUAGAGCAUCCCUGGUCCUCUCUAGAGCAUCCCUGGUCCUCUCUGGAGCAUCCCUGGUCCUCUCUGGAGCAUCCUUGGUCCUCUCUGGAGCAUCCCUGGUCCUCUCUAGAGCAUCCCAGUCCCUUCAAAGCCGUGGGAACAGGACGAACAGGGCUGUGGAGCUUUGUAUGUAUGUUUGCUCUUAAUGAUGACUACUAUUCUUUUUUAAGCAAGUUGCAUUGCAAGCUUUCAUUUCCUGGCAGCUGGAGGGCCAUUUUCAAUUGGAAAAGUUCCUUUACAUCUGAGAUAAACUUCAUUUUGAUGAGAA